rnacentral:siRNA from 1 species
UGGAUCCGCCCAAUGGUGAGAGUU